rnacentral:rRNA from 1 species
ACUGCUCAGUAACACGUGGACAACCUGCCCUUAGGACGGGGAUAAACCCGGGAAACUGGGUAUAAUACCCGAUAGGUCUCGAUUGCUGGAAUGCAUCGAGAUUUAAAGCUCCGGCGCCUAAGGAUGGGUCUGCGGCCUAUCAGGUAGUAGUGGGUGUAGCGUACCUACUAGCCUACGACGGGUACGGGUUGUGAGAGCAAGAGCCCGGAGAUGGAUUCUGAGACACGAAUCCAGGCCCUACGGGGUGCAGCAGGCGCGAAAACUUUACAAUGCUGGCAACAGCGAUAAGGGAACCUCGAGUGCCAGGUUACAAAUCUGGCUGUCGAGAUGCCUAAAAAGCAUUUCAUAGCAAGGGCCGGGCAAGACCGGUGCCAGCCGCCGCGGUAACACCGGCGGCUCGAGUGGUAACCGUUAUUAUUGGGUCUAAAGGGUCUGUAGCCGGCCGGAUAAGUCUCUUGAGAAAUCUGGCAGCUUGACUGUCAGGCUUUCAGGAGAUACUGUCUGGCUCGAGGCCGGGAGAGGUGAGAGGUACUUCAGGGGUAGGGGUGAAAUCUUGUAAUCCUUGAAGGACCACCAGUGGCGAAGGCGUCUCACCAGAACGGACCUGACGGCAAGGGACGAAAGCUAGGGGCACGAACCGGAUUAGAUACCCGGGUAGUCCUAGCCGUAAACGAUACUCGCUAGGUGUCGGCCACGGUGCGACCGUUGUCGGUGCCGUAGGGAAGCCGUGAAGCGAGCCACCUGGGAAGUACGGCCGCAAGGCUGAAACUUAAAGGAAUUGGCGGGGGAGCAC